rnacentral:lncRNA from 1 species
UGUAGGCCCGCGCCGGCUCAGCGCCUUCACUCCUUGCCGGGUCUGUGCGUCUGUCUCGCGGUGGGGCAGCCCUCGAGUGUGGUGCCUGGUGACUGGGAGUGACCUCAGAAGGGCCCGCGUGGGGCGCGGAGGAGAGGGGACGCGCAGCUGCCCACCGGCAUCCUCGUCACGGCCCUCCGCUCCCCACCAGGCGUGGGAAGUAGAGAUAAAACCGAAAGGGAGGGAGGCGCGGGGGCUGGAGCGGGCGGAGUAAUGGGAACCGCGUGAGCGCGGCCAAGAGGUGAGGAGGUGGAGGAGUGGGAGGGAGGAGGAGAGGGGUGCAGCGGUCGGGGACGGGCGGGAGGUGGGGCCGCAAGACCCCUGGGCCGGCCUUAGUCAGACUGGGCAAGCCCGGACCUGUCACCCCUCUUCUGGCCUGGGACGCAUCUGCCGGGACCUAUCCCGGCUCAGUCCAGGAGUUUGAAGGUGGGGGUGGGGAUGAGAAGAGCCACUUACUUCCCAGGUGUAAAGGCCACAACGUGGCCACUUGGGGUUAUUCUUGUGUCUUGUGUGUGGGUAAUUUGUUUUCAUUAUUAUUAUUUUGGUUUCAAAGCCGUGGUGAGAGUUUCCUUUGGUUAGAUUUUGGGAGGAAAAUCUGCCUCCUGGUAUAUCACCCCCUGGCACACACACACACUGAAAAGUGAACAGACUGGGUAAGGAAUUUUCUAUGGUGAACUGUGGAUGAAUUUAGCAAUUAAGGAGUCUAGAAUGACAUUUUGAAACAAACAAAUUUGUUUAUUUGUGUGCUAGGGAGGUGACAUGGGUAUGAGGGUGGUUUUAAAAGAUAGAUUACAUAUCAUGAAUUAACUUAUUAAUGGAAUUCAGAAUGCUCUGGUAUUUGUUAUUGUUUGGUUUAAAAGAAACAUAAUUUUAGCGACAAUUAAAAGUUUGACGUAAAUGAUAUCACAUGGGCAGUUAAAAUUGAUAAUCUUACCUAAAGUUAUGGUUAGAUUGAAUAGUAGAUAUCUCCAUAACCAGAUUUCAUGUUUAAUUUUUUUUCUGAUUAUCACAAAAAGAAAGCACAAAAGUUGAGAACUCAACUUUUGAUAUUAGUCUAGAUUGUGCUUCAGUCCAUGUUACACCUUUUAUUUUUAAUGAGGUUAUAAUAGUCUUACAUGAGGAAAAUGAUUCCUAGAGAUGCCAGUUAAGUUUAAGCUUUGUCUUAAAGUGACUUAGUUUUUAUGACUUAGCUUUCUUGACCCCUGUUAGUUUUUUUGUCAUUCAUUCAUUCAUGUCUUCAAAUGUGUCAAGCAAUAUGCAAAUCUGGCAAAUAAAAAUACAGUCUGUGUUCAUGGAAUUUUGUAUAGUAGUGGCACCCUUUUAAGAGUGAAUCUUGACAAGGAUUCUUUUUCAUACCAUGAAUAUCUAGUUGAUCAAGGCAAAGCUUUUUACAAGAAUAUACUAUUAUAGAUGUUUAUGUAUAACUGGCAUUUAAAGAGGAACAGCAUUAGUUGAUAUUGUCUUUGGUUAAAAAGACAGUAUACAUGCUAGUGGUGUGCCCUUUAAGAGGAGUAAGUUUUUCUUUUUGCAAAGUUGGUGUAAAUAUAAAGUUCACAAUUGGAAAUCUACCAGAAAAAAAAUUAGUAUUUUUCCAUUCUGUACAUUGGUCUGAUUAAUUUACCAUAUGUUAAUAACUUGUGAUUUACAUACAUAAUAACAUAAAGCAUAUUUCUCAGGGACAUGUCUAAAAUAAUUUUAUUACUCAGUAAUACCUUCCUUGAGGAGAUAGUUGACAUAAGCACUUUCAGCAUGAAAUAUGUUGUGAUAUAAGGUGGUAUAGUUUUCAACUUUAAGAUGUCUACCUGAAAUUGAAAUUUUAGCAAAAUCAGCAUUUAUUGAUAGAAAAAGUACAGAAUUAUCAAGGAGAGUAAGAUGCAUAUUAAAUAUCCCUAAUCCCCAAAUCCAAAAUCUGAAGCAUUUUAAGUAAGCUCUUACAUGAACAUCAUAAAUGGAAAAUUAUAUACCAUGAAACUUUUUUCAUGGACGAAAACAUUAAAAGUACUAUAUAUAAAUUUUCAGGCUGUGCAUAGUGGUGUGUACCUAUAAUCCCAGCUACUCAGGAGGCCGAGGUAGAAGAUCACAAGUUCCAAGCAGCUUUGGUAAUUUAGCAAGACUCUCAAAAUAAAAAGGGCUGGGGAUGUAGCUCAGUGGUAGAGCAAUCCUAGGUAUAGCAGAACAAAAAAGUACCAUCUCAUUUAAGUCCUACAUUUUGCAUGUGGAUGAACAAAUGAAGAUAAAUCUACUAUUUGUUUUCAUUUUUCUAUUUACUCACUAUGUUUUACAAGUUUUCCUAUUUUUAUGCCAUCUCUAACUUUUGAUUCAAAGAUAAUACAAUUUAAUUCAUGUUUGAGCAUUCUGUUUAGUUAGAUUUUGAAAUGUGAAAGGGGCAUUAGAAGUCAUUUUGUAAACCACUUUCAUUUUAUUGAUGAGAAAAUUGAUACUAGAGAAGUUAGCUGAUUUUCUACCAUGCAUGAAGCAAAAAAUGGCACCAGAACUUAGUUUUUCUUAUUUUUAUUUUACUUCUACUAUAUUAUUCUGCCUCUCCUCAUUGUUAUCUGACUAGACUAAUUCUUGGGGACCUUUUUAAAUCAAGAUAUAAUCUCAUUUAUCUUGCUGGUUUCAGUAUAUUUUGACUAAUCUUCCUGUUUCUCUGAUUAAUUCUCCAAAGAGGAUUUUUAGGAAUUGCAUUCAUUAUCCGAGGUUUAUAGUAGUAACAUGGAAAAUUAGGUUGAAAUUUGGAGAGGCACAUAAUAAAAAUCCUAGUAAGGAGUAAGAAAUUUACAGUUAACAAUAAGAGAUUUUAGGAUAUAUUUUAAUAAGAUAAUUGCUGAUCGGUGAAUAUAUAUAUAUGAAGAAGGAGAAGUUUACACCUGCUUAUUUAAUCACUAAACCAAAGAUUGCCAAACUACUGAAUCAGAAUUCCUAGCGAUGGUGUCUAGAAAUAUGAAAGAAACUCUCCAGUGAUUAUAAACAGUUUGUAUUUUGGGGUAAAUUCUACUUUAAACCUAUGAACUCAACAGCUCUUACUUUAGGAUACUAUCUGUUUUAUUAAACUUGAACUUCAAAAGAAGCAAAGUAACUUCUCAGGAUUAUAGAGAAGCAGUUGCUAAUGUUUUGUACUAUUUUCAAAGAUUUGUUAGGUCAUUUUAAAUUAAGUGAAGGCUAGCAAAGUAUUCAGUUAUGGGUAGCUAAGAAAUAUGAUACAUAGAAUUUGAUAAGAGAAAGUGCAAAUUCCUUUUUCCAAGAGAGGAAAUUCAUGCUUACUGCUGAAAUAGCUCCUCUAGUUAGGAAAAUUUUGUUUACUCUUUUUUUGAAAGUGAAUAGAAUGCCCUUAGGCUAAUCAAAUGGAAUGAUAUGAAGAUGUUAAAUUCUUCUCUUAAGCAUAAAUAGAAAUAAACACACCUUUAUCUUCAUUUAAGAAACUUAAUUAUAAAAUUCUACAUAAAUUAUUUUGAAGUAGAAAUUUAUUUGGGGGUGAUAACUCAACUUACAAAAUAAUUUCAGUAUAUCUUUUCCAGUUUGAAUGCAUUUUCUAAAAUGAGGCCUGCUUUGGAGUAGUACCUUUAACACUAAGGAGUCUUACUGAACAUUCUCCAAGGAGUGAAGGAAGCUUUGCAAAAAUAAAGUAUUAUCUUUAUUCUGAGGAUUGGAGUGGUAAGGAAUGCCUAAAAAUCACUUUUGGGUAGCUUCAUGGUUUCACUCUGAAUAUACAUCAUCUAGCAAAUAUUUACUAAGUUCCUAAGCAUAGGCCAAUAACUACACAAGGUACUGGGGAAAAAAGCAAAAACUACACUACUUAUGAUCUAUUGAAGACCAGUGUGAGGUUCCUGGUUUUGUAGGACUCUUGAGUGUACUGACCUGAGACAAGGACUUGUCACUCAUUCAUUGAAUCUGAAAAUCAGCUUGGAAAGAAAAUGAGUACACUGUUAGGAAGUUUAAAGAGUGGAUGAUUUCACUCCAACUAUUCAGAGCUAAUGUGUUCAUACAUUAUUUAUUAAAAAACAGAAUAUUGGAAAAACAUUGAUAAGAUGCUGAAUCCAAUGGAUAUUUAACCUCAUGUAAUAUUUUGCAUGGUUAACUACUACUCUUUCUUUUCCUUUUGUUUUGAUGAUAUCACACUUCUGGUUUUCUCUAGUCUUUUUGGCCUCUUGCUAUUCAAAAUCUCCUUUAUAGACCUUUUCUUAUUUAUUCCUUGAAGGCUUGUGCUUCUGCACCUUCUGUCUUUUCUUCUUAGUCUUCAUACAAAUCUGUGGGUGAUUUUCCCCGCAGUAUUUACAAGUGUAGGCACUAGAUUGAUUUUUGCUAGCUUGGUCUACCCAGCAUGCUGUCUAGCAUGUAGUAGAAAUACCAGUUAAGAAAUAUCAGUGAAAUGAGUAAAAGCUGUUUUAUUCAUCUGCUUAUCCUUCCUAGCCCACCUCUGUCCUAGGGUUUAGCAACUAUUGACUUUUCUUUUAACCUUACUUUUUCUUUUCUGCUGUAUUGUUUGAGACGUGAAAAUGCUUGCCUAAUUAUUAAUUUUGGAAUUGUCUACUUGUACAGUUUUGAGUUCUUUGAAAGAAUGUCAUCAUCAGUUGAAUAAAUCACAACAAGUUAGAUUUGGGGGAAGACAUAAAAGCUUUUCUUUCAUGUUUGAGCAUAUUUUCUACUUUGUAAAAACAUUUUAUCUCAGAAGAUUGAAUAAUCAAGUUUCUGUGAAAAAAUAUUUUUGGGGUCUUUUGAAGAUGAUAUAAAUAGAUGUGUAGGAACCUAAGUAAAAUACUGCCCCAUUUUGUGGCAGUUUUGUCUUCACUUUGUGCUUUCUGUCAAUUCCUCCAUCCAUUCAUUACAUAAAAAUUUACUGAGGACUUCCUAUGCCUUAGACACUGUUUUAAGUGCUAUGGAUAUUGCAGGGAGCCAAGUUCAUAGUCUAUUGGAUGAAGUGGACAUAAACAUGGAAAAUAAGUCAUAAGUGCUGUGGAGUAAAGUGGAUUAGGUACAGAGAAGGAUCAAGGAGGGGGGUGUUAUUUUGUAUAGGAUGACUAAGAAGUCUUCUCUGUUAAGAUAUUUGAGCAAAGACCUGAAGGAAACAAAGGAAUUGUUUAUGUGGUAUCUCCAGAAGGAGAAAUUGAUGUUUAUAUCAUUGGAAGGAAGGGCAAUGUGAUGCCAUAAAGAGCAAGGAGGAGCAUUUAGGAGGUCAAAUUAAAACAUAGAACAUUCCUUCAGGCCUUUGAAGAUAAUCCAGAGAUAAGAUUUUAAGCAGAUAAGAGAGCAACAGUGUUUGUGAGGUUUUAAAAAAGAGUUAUUCUAGCCAGGUAUGGCAGUGAUUCAGUAUGUUGAAGCAGGAGGAUCUCAAGUUUAAAGCCAGCCUCACCAAAUUAGUGGAGGCCCUAAACAAAUUAGUGAGACCCUGUAUCAAACUAAAAAAUAAAAGGGCUGGGGAUGUCGAUCAGUGGUUAAGCACCUCUGGGUUCAUUCCCCCAGUACCCAAAACAACAAAAACAACAACAUCCAAAAAAGAAUUAUUUUAAAAUAAAGGGUGGAAAAAAGACAAAAAAAAAAAAAAAUUUGUUUAUAUGCAGAAACUAGAUGUUUGGAAUUAAGAGUGAAAACAGGAAGAAUGAAUAGAAGGCUAUGAAGCACACACAUUUCUCUACAGACUUACAGAAUAUUUCUAACACCAUAUGUGCACUUUUUUGUUUUACAUUGACCAGUUCUCAGAUACCAGUUAUGUCCUACAGUUAAAUUUAAUUCUGUCACUAUCUACCUGGAAUUAUCCUCAUAUCCUACAAGUUAAAGGCUCACUUCAGAUGCCAUCAGAAGUCUGGGCCUUCUAAACAUUUGACUCAUUUGCUAUAAAUCCAGGGUUCCCAUUACACAUUGUUUGAGUUCAAAAAUUUGCAAGAAUGACUCAAAGAACUCAGGGAUGCACUUUACUUGUAUGAGGAUACAGAUGAAGAGAUGCCUAGUGCAAGGUCUAGAAGGGACCCAACCUCAAGGAGUUUCUGUCCCUUUUGGAGUUGUGGUGUGCUGUUCUACAAGCUGGUACGUUGUUUCACCAACAUGUGAGUUCAUCAUUUCUUCUUCAAGAGUUUGUUGUACAGAGUUUAAUUGACAGCUUCUCAACCUCCUGCUCCCAGAGAUUAGUGGGUGUUGCUGGAAAUUCCUAGCCUUGUAAUUACUUGGUCUUUUAGGUUAUUGGCCCAACCUGUCACUUUAUUGUCAUAAACUCAGGUAUGAUCAACAAGGGCUUGCUAUGAAUACAAAAAGAGACUUCUAUAAUUCAGGAAAUUCCAAGGGUGUUCUGUGUUGGAAUCCCAGGACAAAUACCAAAUCUGUUUCUUUUUUGGGGUGUGGGGGACUGCUGAUUAAACCUGGGGUGCUUUAUUACUGAGCUACAUUCCCAUUCCUUUUAAUUUUGAGACAGAGGCUCAUUAAGUUGCUGAGGUUGUCUUCAAACUUGUAAUCUUCCUGCCUAAACUUCCCUAAUCUUUGAGAUUAUAGGCAUGUACCACCAUGCCUGUAAUAACUGAGAAAUAACAUUGGAUCUAGCAAUGCUGAGGUUAUUUGUGACUUUAAUAGCUUGAAUAGUAGAGGAAAAAACCUUACUGGAAUGGAAUUUUUGCUAUAAAUAGGAAGCAGAAAAGUGGAAUGGUAAUUGAAGAGGGUAAAGCAGAGAUUUUAAAAAUAUGAACGCCACUACAGCAUGUUCUUAGGUUUGGGGAAUGAUUUAAUGAGGAAGAAAAUAUUACAGAUAAGGAGAGAGGGGAUGGUUUCAACAUAGUAUCUUUUUAUCAUUGUUCCCAGGACUUAAAUAAUUUUUCAUGAAUAAAUUAACAAAUUCAUUUAUAAAACUAUCAUCAGAUACAUUUUUUUUUAGAUCAGUGCUAGAUAAAAAGUGGAAUAAAGAACAUUUUAGUAAUACCUUUUUUGGAUUGUUGUGAGAAUUAAAUUAUAGUUUUCCUUGGUUGGAUUACCAUCUUGAGGUUAUUCUUUCAUCCUCAUUAACUUGUUGUUUUCUAAGUCUUUGCAUUUUCCUUAUAAUUCUUUACUAAUCUUUUCUUUGCUUUCCUUUUUUCCCAUGUGAACUUUUUAAAAAAGUUCAAAAAUCUGAGAUCCCUCUUAUGGAUUAAUUCUUAGAUGUAGAAGACAUAUUUGUUAGUAAAGUGAAGGAAGGAUUUUUAAAUGUUUGUUGCAAAUAAAAUUCAGAAUAUGGAGUUAAAUUUAAAUUUCAGGUGAAUAACAAAUAUUUUUUUACUUACUAAAAUCAUUAGGAGCUAUUUGGAGUAUUUUAAAUUUUUCCAAAAAAAGUUGUUUAUGUGAAAUUCAAAUUUAUCUUUACAUUUGUGUUUUUGUUAAGUCUGGCAACUACAGUUUAGAGUAAAGAUUUUAUGAUUCUUAGUGUGAGAAUAGAAAUGCAAAAGUAUAUUAUCAGUGUUUGGGUUUUUCAAUCCUGGCAGUGAAAUCACAUAUAAAUGAAGAGCAGGAAGGGGGAGUUACUUCAAAAAACUGAUGUUGCUGGGGCUGGGGAAAUGGCUCAAGCAGUAGCACGCUUGCCUGGCCUGCAGCCCAGGUUCGAUCCUCAGCACCACAUACAAACAAAGAUGUUGUGUCCGCCGAAAACUAAAAAAUAAAUAUUAAAAUUCUCUCUCUUUCUCUCUCUCUCUCUGUCUUUAAAACAACAACAACAACAACAACAACAACAACAACAAACCUGAUGUUGCUUUGCCUGAAUACUUUAAAGUAUGAACUGAACAUAGAAGAGUAUAGAAACCAAGGACACAUACAGAUUUGUAAGACUGGAAUGCCUGUCCUUGAGAAAACGUUAGAGUUAGCAAAAAGCAAUUUUCAAGCUGCUGUUAUCCCCAGUCUGUUUCUUGGGGCAUGCAUGUACUUGGAUGUUAAAAAGAAAAACAAAAAAGGCUUAUUUAUCUAUUAAGUCUGCUUCCUCCUUUUAUACCAAAGAGAAUGGAGAGUGGACUCUGGAUUGGAAAGGCAGAAUUGAUUUGGACAAAAUUGAAGUGCAUUAUGGGUGAGAAUAUUAAAAGAGCCUCCUGAUGGUCAACAUUCAGAUGUUUAGUUUCUUAUAAACCUGAGAAUUUUUAGAGAAAUGUUUUCAAAACCUAUAGGGUGCCAGACAUUUAGUUUGAUGCUUUCAUAAUCAUUAUCUCUUAUUAGACUCUGUUUACUUAAAAAUUAAUUAUAUAAUAUUUCAAUAAUAUGGAAAAUUUUCAGAAAAUAAUGUUAACACUUUACUGCAUACCCAGAUUUAACAAGUAUUAACUUUCAUUUGCAUUGGAUUUUUCUUUUUGAAAAAAUAGCAGCUUUUGUUCCUUUUUGUCACUUCACUCUUUCCUCAGUCCUUGAAGCUGGUAUAUGAGAUUCUCAUGUAUGUUUCUACAUAUUUCUGUGUAAUGAGAUAUAAAUCAAGGCAUACUGAGGAGGACUGAUAGAAAUGGAAUUGAUUAAUAUAGUGAGGAAAAAAGCUUAGAGUAGGAUGACAAAUGUCGUCAGCUGUUUUAGAAGCCAUUUAUGCAAAUGAGUGCUUAGAUUUGAUAGCUUACUGACAUUAGAUAGUACAGAUAAUUUUUGUAGAAGUACUUUGAGACGAGAAUGCAACAUACAUUGAGUUAGUAAUUCAAUUUAUGAUCUAUGCUUUUUGAAAACUUCUGUAAACAUUGAAAAACAUAGUGUUUAACCUAUACAGAUGUCAUUUUUAUUAAAAAGUUACCAAAGUAUGUCAAGUAUAAUUUUCAAAUAUUCAAUUAUUUUCUCCAUAAAAAAUGUUAACUUGCUAUCUUUAGAGAGAUACAUGACAUAACUGUUUGUUAAAGCUUCAUUCUAUAAUUUUUAAGCCAUCAAAAUGUGAAUUAGGCCAGGUACAGUGUCACACACCUGUAAUUCCAGCAGUUUGGAAUGCUGAGUCAGGAGACUCACAGGUUUAAAGCCAGCCCCAGCAACUCAGUGAGGCCCUAAAUAACUUAUCUAGACCCUGUCUCAAAAUAAGAAGGGCUAGGGAUGUGGGUCAGUGAUUAAGUGCCCCCUAGGUUCAAUUCCUGGUACUAAAAACAAAUAAACAAAAAGGUGAAUUUAAAAACAUGUUUCUAAUGUUUGAUACUUUUUAAAAGCAUGUUGAUUCUUUAGUAAUUAAUUUUUUUAAAGUAGGAGGUAUCAUUCAUUCAUGACUGACAAAACCUGUUUGUAUUUUUUUGUUUGUUUGUUUUGUUUUAGUUGUAGACAGACACAAUACCUUUAUUUUAUUUUAUUUUUAUGUGGAACUAAGGAUUGAACCCUGGGCCUCAAACAUGCUAGGCAAGUGCUCUACCACUGAACCCCAACCCCAACUACAAACCUUUUUUUUUUUUUUGCCCCCCGUUUUAUUAUUUAUAAUUUGUUGCAAAGAAAAAUGGCUUAGAAUUUUUAAAUGUAGGAAUGAGAAAAAUGGGCUUGACCUUUUCAAAGAUUUCAGUUUAGAAAGCUAUAACUGUAUGGAGUAUGAUAGGGAAAUGGCAUGUCAGCUCAGAAUGAGGCACACAGAAAAUGUUCUAUGGAUUGUAUUUGUCAAGACACAUUUCUGAUUGAUAUAACGGAAGAGAUUACCCUGUUUCUAUGAUUAGUUUAUUAUAAAUUACAUCAUAAAUAUCAAAUCUACUAGAAUGUCAUGUAAUUUUAGGUUAUACAAUACAUCCUUUCAGGAAGAUCAAGUAUGUUUUAAUCUGCUGUGACCAAAAAAAAAAAAAACCUGACAAAAACAAUUUUAGAGGAGGAAAAGUUAAAUUGGGGCUCAUAGUUUCAGAGGUCUUAGUCCACUGACAGCUAACUCCAUUGUUCUAGGCUAGAGGUGAGUCAGAAGGUCACCAAGGAAGGGUAUGGAGGAGGAAAGCAGCUCAGGGGGUGGUACCAGGAGGCCAAGAGGGGAGGAGAGGAUUCUAAUUUGUAAUACCCUGUGAGUUAGUUCUCUGUUUUUCUGUUUCUUGUUUACUGUGCAACUUCAUUUGAGUCCUAUUUAUGAAAAUUUGGCUUCCAGUUUUCUAUAUUUGAGAGGCAGAGGUAGACAUUUCUUUCAUUAUCACGAUGUAUAUGUCAACCUCUUACAUGGUAUUGGGAUUAGAGCUAUUUAUAACAAAAAACUAAGGUCAUCAUAUCUUUAAAUUUGGAGUAACACUGAUUGAGAGUAAAAAUGAACCAAAUUUUUAAAUGCUUCAGGAAAGGAAUGGUGCUCUAUAUAAUUGUGUCACGGAGGACUGUAAAGUCAGGAAAACCCUUUCCUUCUCAACAUCUAAGGCUGAGCAUCACUAGAGUUUUGGUUUGGUAUUAAGAAUGUAUCUCUUGAGAAGAUGUAUUCAGAGUUUUUGAGUCAAAUAAAUUUUUUAGCCUAUGUUCCUUGAACCUUUGGAAUGAGAAUUAUGUUUUUUAGACAUAAUCUAUUAUAGGUCAUUUUCCACUGGGACCAAUGGGGAGAGAGUUAAUAUAAACACAUGUGUAGUGGGUCUGUUCCAGAUUUUCUUGAGAGUGAUUUGUGUACUUAUUUGAUCUUUGUGAGGUGUUUAUUCAGACUCUUGUUGUCCUCAUAAGAAGCUGAAAUAUUCUAGCCACUUGUUUUCCUAAAGACAUUUAAAGAAAAUGAUUUUCUUAUGCUUUGUGAAAAGUAAGAUCAAUAUAACUGUAGGGGAUCUUCUAUAGUAUAAAUACUGAUUUGUGGUUAUUUGCUUGUCAAGGCUUCUCUACUUGCCCCAAUCUUUGGGUGGGAACUUUGAUUUGUAUGUAGUUAGUUGAGUAAGUUAAGAGAAUAAGAACCUUAUACAUAUUUUUUUGUUUUUAAGAAAUCAUUAUAUAUUUUGUAUUACAUGAAAAGUACAUAUGUAGGUAUGUAAUUGUCUUUCCUAUGCUUCCUUUAUUCUCUCUUUUCCAAUGUGUUUCCUAACUUAAAUGGGAACUGUUUUAGUUAGCUUUGCAACAUUGUGAUCAAAAUAUGCAAGAACAGCUUAUGGGGGAAAGUGUAUUUGGGGAUCAUGGUUUCAGAAAUUUUUGUUUAUUGAUGGUGGAGUCCAUUGUUCUGGGCCCAACGUGAGGCAGACCAUCAUGAUUGAUGGACAUGAUGGAGGAAAGCAACUCACCCCAUGGUGGCCAGGAAGCAGAGAGAGAAAGCCCAAGAAGGGGCCUGUCGGGAAGAACAGUUCUUCCAGGACAUAUCCUCAGUGACCCAUCUCCUCCAUCUGUACCCCAUAGUUAUCAUCCAGUCAGUCCAUGCAAAGUAGGAUGGACUGAUUAGGUUAUAGCUCUCACAGUCCAAACACUUUACUUCUGAAAGUUCCUGCAUUAACAUAGGAGCUUUUGGGGGCACCUUAUAUCCAAAUCUUAACAGAAGCUGUUCAAGAGCACUUGCUUUUUUCUUAAGAGUGAGGUGGGAUCUAAAGUGAAUUUGUGCCUUUACCACAUAAAUCAAUGCUUUCAAAAUGUAACAUCAGAAAAGAGACAUGAUAUAUGGAAUAUUCUACCUCAGGCAUGGUCUUAUAAACAAAUGGCUACUUGCACCACUAUUGAGGCAGAAUAUUUUCAGUUUAGUGUCAGGGUCUUUGAAGACUUUAGAAUGCAUCUUCGCAGCCCUUCAGUGUGGGUAGAAAAUUUAAACUCUAGUGUUCUAAAACAUUUAUUUUUAUUUUUUAAAAUAUUUUUUUAGUUGAUGGGCCUUCAUUUUAUUUAUUUAUUUAUUUAUAUGUGGUGCCCAGAACCGAACCCAGUGCCUCACACAUGCUAGGCGAGCACUCUACCACUGAGCCCCAGCCCCACUCCCCUAAAGCAUUUAUUGUAUGCCUUACUUAUUUGUGUGUGUGUGUGUGUGUGUGUGUGUGUAUUCUGGGGAUUAACUGGGUUUAGGAGUGCUUUACCUCUGAGUUACAUCCCCUUUUUUAAAUUUUUGUUAAAAUUUUUUUUGAAACAGGGCCUUGCCAAGUUGCCCAGGUUAGCCUCAAUCUUGUGAUCUUUCUACCACAACUUUUUGAGUUGCUGGGAUUACAGGUGUGUGCCACUAUGCUCUCAGCUCCUUAGUUUUCUGUAGAUGAUACGAGCUUUGUACAGUCCUUGAGAGGAUUAAUAGAAAAAGUCAUUCAAGAUACAUUCAAUCAUUCAGUAGAAUUUAAUCAUCUCACAGAAUCCCAUUGAUAAAGGCUGGUAGGAUGUAUACUGCACAUGAAUUAAAAAAAAAUUUUUUUUUAGUUGUAUAUGGACUCAUUGCCUUUUAUUUGUUUUUAUGUGGUGCUAGGAUCAAACCCAGUGCCUCACACUUGCCAGGCAAGUGAUCUACGACUGAGCUACAACUCCAGCCCCACUGCACAUAAAUUCUGACUCCCAAUUUCUUACUAGAUGGGUUUCUUUGUCACUACUGACUUGGGGCAAAACUGGUGAUUUAAGGAUGAAGGACACCAUCUCUAAAACAGUGGAGUUUUUGCUUCAUCUGUGAACUUGUUAGAAAUGCAAACUUUUAUGCCCUAAUUCAGUGCUGUGUGAUCUUCCAUAUCAGAAAAUUGGGGUAAAGAUUAAGGUGGUAGGGCUCAGCAAUUUGUUUUAGAAAGCCCUCUAGGUGACUUUAAUAAAUAAUAAAAAUUGAAAAUUUCUGCCCUAUGCUGUCCACUAAUUCCCUAUGUCAUAUUUUUCCUCUACAUGCUUCAGGAAAUAUGUUGCUCACUGUUAGAAAAAUUCAUUUAUAACUUUCUGAAUCAUCUUAAUUUCCACAAAUGCUCUCCUAAAUUCAUUCCCAGUGGGCAGUUGGAAUCUAAAGUUGGCUACCCUAGGGAGUUUAUUUGCAAAUUUUUUGGACUGCAAUUCUCCAGUGUGAUAUAGACUCCAACUGGUUUUUUAAAAGUAUGUUCACAUACCUGUUCCUUACUGAUUUGCAGUGUAAUUAUGUAUGUUUGUAGAUCUUAUCAUUUUGUUUCUGAUUUUUAAUCUUACUAUAUUUUGCUCAGAGAAUGACCUAUAUCAGGGGUCAGGAAACUAAUUUGGUCACUCUGAGCCCAAAUAUACUUUUUAUUUCUUUUCUUUCUUUAUUAUUGGCAGUGCUGGGGAUUGACCUCAGGGUAUUGUGCAUGCUAGGCAAACACUGUACAACUGAGCUUCUUUGUCUGUGACGUGUGCUGGAUUAUUUCUUUAAUGCUGUCUUUCAGGUCAUACUUUUCCUUUUAGCUGUGAUUAAUCAGUUCUGUAGUCUAUCUGUUGAUUGUUUUCAAAUUUAACAAUUAUAUAUUUUUAUUUAUAAAAUAUAUUUUCAAACCCUGCAAGUUCUUAUUCAGUAUUUUAAAAAUCCUUCUUUUAUUUUUUUUAAUCUCAGUUAUGUAAUAUCUAAUUAUUUUAAUAUAUGAGUCAGAUUUUCUAGGUAUUAAGCUUUAUAGAGAUUUAGUUAAGAGGAACAGCAGAAGCUGGGAGUGGUCUAAAAUAUCUUGUAUGUUCCUUGCCCCCAUCCAUCUGUUUUUUUUCCUUCUUCUAUUGGACAGUUUUGGCCAGAUAAUUGUUUGUUGUGGAGAGGCUAUCCUGUGUUUUAUAGAAUGUACAGCAGCUUCACUGACCUCUACCCAUCAGAAGUCAUAGACCACUUUCACUUCCUUUCUAAUUGUGAUAACUCAAAAUGUCUCCAGAUAUUGCCAAAUGUCCUGUGGGGAGUGGUGUGGAGAGGGAAUCUAGUUGAGCAUUGUUUUAAGACUUAGAAAACUUACUUGACAUUCUCUGGGGAUUUUAUAACUGUAAAUAGUAGUUUUGUUCUAAUAAGCAAUCUUAAGCCAGGACAAUCUUAAAAAGAGAUAGAUAAGGAUUCUCCAAAUGCAAAUAUUAUUAAAUCUAUUUGCCUGGACAUUGGUUGUUUAAUUGCAAGCAUGCUAACAGAGACUAGACAUAGUUAUCAGACUCUUUUUCCCUGGGAGUUUACCAUCACCAGCUGCUUUGAUUCUUUUUUUUACUCCAGUCUCCUGUUCCUAUUUUCUCCAUUUUUCUUCCUUUUUUUAAUUGAAAAAAAAAAUUAUUGAGUACCAAAAAUGUUCCAUGUUAAGAAGCCAAAUAUAUGAACAUCAGUGGGAAGAGCAUUGCAAACAGAGAAAACCACUGGAAAGUUGUGUAAUUUGAAAUCAGUGCAUGUAAAAUAAAAUUGGGGAAAAUAUUGUCAGUUUUCUUCAUGUCUUUAUAUUAUUGGUAGUAGUAAAACAAUAUUUGAGGCUUAUAUUAAAAUACUGUGUAGAAGUCAUUUUGAAGUAAUAGUAUAGUAAUAUCCUGAAACAAAUAUCUAUUUGUUCCUUUUUCUUUUCUGCAGCCAUAGUAAAUGUGUUAUUUAAAACAAAACAAAAUGAAACAAAAAAACCUUCAAGAGUUGGAAAUGUAUCAGGAGAAUUUUUAACUGUUUUUUCUCCCCCUUGCCUUGUAUUGGUCAGUUUUUUGAGUCGAUUAUACCUCCCAUUUCUGAACAGAUAAAUAUCAUCUUAUUUUGUUUCAGUUUCAGGUUUCUCAUUGCAGGGAUCACUGAUUGAGAAAUAGAUGGCUUUGCCUCGCCUCACAGGAGCCUUGCGCUCCUUUUCAAAUGUUACCAAGCAAGAUAAUUAUAGUGAAGAAGUGGCUGACUUAAAGGUAAGUUUUUUAAAUGAGAACUCUUAUAGAGUAUG